rnacentral:lncRNA from 1 species
GACUAUCUCGAAACAGUUGGGUCAAUCUCGGGAUAAUACAUCUAUAAGAAGAGAGAGGAAGACAGAGAACGGGACAAGUGAAACCCUAAAGUAUUACACCAAACACACCGACCUCGACCUCAAGCUCCCUUAUUCCUUUCACCUUGUAAUCGAUUUUAGUUUCACUCCAAUUGUAUCUCGAUCUCAUUCAAUCAUUGUAUUCAAUCAUAUUAACUCAAUAAAAUCUAUUUUUCUCAAUCGGGAUCUG